rnacentral:rRNA from 1 species
AUGAACGCUAGCGACAGGCUUAACACAUGCAAGUCGAGGGGCAGCACAGGUAGCAAUACCGGGUGGCGACCGGCGCACGGGUGAGUAACGCGUAUGCAACUUACCUAUCAGAGGGGGAUAACCCGGCGAAAGUCGGACUAAUACCGCAUGAAGCAGGGGCCCCGCAUGGGGAUAUUUGCUAAAGAUUCAUCGCUGAUAGAUAGGCAUGCGUUCCAUUAGGCAGUUGGCGGGGUAACGGCCCACCAAACCGACGAUGGAUAGGGGUUCUGAGAGGAAGGUCCCCCACAUUGGUACUGAGACACGGACCAAACUCCUACGGGAGGCAGCAGUGAGGAAUAUUGGUCAAUGGCCGAGAGGCUGAACCAGCCAAGUCGCGUGAGGGAUGAAGGUUCUAUGGAUCGUAAACCUCUUUUAUAAGGGAAUAAAGUGCGGGACGUGUCCCGUUUUGUAUGUACCUUAUGAAUAAGGAUCGGCUAACUCCGUGCCAGCAGCCGCGGUAAUACGGAGGAUCCGAGCGUUAUCCGGAUUUAUUGGGUUUAAAGGGUGCGUAGGCGGCCUUUUAAGUCAGCGGUGAAAGUCUGUGGCUCAACCAUAGAAUUGCCGUUGAAACUGGGGGGCUUGAGUAUGUUUGAGGCAGGCGGAAUGCGUGGUGUAGCGGUGAAAUGCAUAGAUAUCACGCAGAACCCCGAUUGCGAAGGCAGCCUGCCAAGCCAUGACUGACGCUGAUGCACGAAAGCGUGGGGAUCAAACAGGAUUAGAUACCCUGGUAGUCCACGCAGUAAACGAUGAUCACUAGCUGUUUGCGAUACACUGUAAGCGGCACAGCGAAAGCGUUAAGUGAUCCACCUGGGGAGUACGCCGGCAACGGUGAAACUCAAAGGAAUUGACGGGGGCCCGCACAAGCGGAGGAACAUGUGGUUUAAUUCGAUGAUACGCGAGGAACCUUACCCGGGUUUGAACGCAUUCGGACCGAGGUGGAAACACCUUUUCUAGCAAUAGCCGUUUGCGAGGUGCUGCAUGGUUGUCGUCAGCUCGUGCCGUGAGGUGUCGGCUUAAGUGCCAUAACGAGCGCAACCCUUGCCACUAGUUACUAACAGGUAAAGCUGAGGACUCUGGUGGGACUGCCAGCGUAAGCUGCGAGGAAGGCGGGGAUGACGUCAAAUCAGCACGGCCCUUACAUCCGGGGCGACACACGUGUUACAAUGGCGUGGACAAAGGGAAGCCACCUGGCGACAGGGAGCGAAUCCCCAAACCACGUCUCAGUUCGGAUCGGAGUCUGCAACCCGACUCCGUGAAGCUGGAUUCGCUAGUAAUCGCGCAUCAGCCAUGGCGCGGUGAAUACGUUCCCGGGCCUUGUACACACCGCCCGUCAAGCCAUGGGAGCCGGGGGUACCUGAAGUCCGUAACCGCGAGGAUCGGCCUAGGGUAAAACUGGUGACUGGGGCU